rnacentral:tRNA from 1 species
CAAGAAGUAGUAUAUAAAUUACAUCUCGCUUACACCGAAGUAAAGGCCUUAAGCCCUUUUUGA